UACGGAGGAUCCAAGCGUUAUCCGGAAUCAUUGGGUUUAAAGGGUCCGUAGGCGGUUUAAUAAGUCAGUGGUGAAAGCCCAUCGCUCAACGGUGGAACGGCCAUUGAUACUGUUAAACUUGAAUUAUUAGGAAGUAACUAGAAUAUGUAGUGUAGCGGUGAAAUGCUUAGAGAUUACAUGGAAUACCAAUUGCGAAGGCAGGUUACUACUAAUGGAUUGACGCUGAUGGACGAAAGCGUGGGUAGCGAACAGGAUUAGAUACCCCGGUAGUCC
rnacentral:rRNA from 1 species